CAAGUCGAACGAAGCACCUUGAUUUGAUUCUUUGGAUGAAGAUCUUGGCGACUGAGUGGCGGACGGGCGAGUAACGCGUGGGUAACCUGCCUCAUACAGGGGGAUAACAGUUAGAAAUGACUGCUAAUACCGCAUAAGACCACAGUACCGCAUGGUGCAGGGGUAAAAACUCCGGUGGUAUGAGAUGGACCCGCGUCUGAUUAGGUAGUUGGUGGGGUAACGGCCUACCAAGCCGACGAUCAGUAGCCGACCUGAGAGGGUGACCGGCCACAUUGGGACUGAGACACGGCCCAAACUCCUACGGGAGGCAGCAGUGGGGAAUAUUGCACAAUGGGGGAAACCCUGAUGCAGCGACGCCGCGUGAGCGAUGAAGUAUUUCGGUAUGUAAAGCUCUAUCAGCAGGGAAGAAAAUGACGGUACCUGACUAAGAAGCACCGGCUAAAUACGUGCCAGCAGCCGCGGUAAUACGUAUGGUGCAAGCGUUAUCCGGAUUUACUGGGUGUAAAGGGAGCGUAGACGGAGUGGCAAGUCUUAUGUGAAAACCCGGGGCUCAACCCCGGGACUGCAUUGGAAACUGUCAAUCUAGAGUACCGGAGAGGUAAGCGGAAUUCCUAGUGUAGCGGUGAAAUGCGUAGAUAUUAGGAGGAACACCAGUGGCGAAGGCGGCUUACUGGACGGUAACUGACGUUGAGGCUCGAAAGCGUGGGGAGCAAACAGGAUUAGAUACCCUGGUAGUCCACGCCGUANACGAUGACUACUAGGUGUCGGGCAGNAAAGCUGUUCGGUGCCGCAGCAAACGCAAUAAGUAGUCCACCUGGGGAGUACGUUCGCAAGAAUGAAACUCAAAG
rnacentral:rRNA from 1 species